CGAGAAAUCAUAGUUAAUUGAACACAACUGGAAAGUUGGACCACAGUGGGUAAUAGUCCCGUAAGUGAAAACUAUGAUAAUCAGUUCUGCACCAGAGUACCACGAGACACGUGAAACCUUGUGGGAAGCAGGGAGGACCACCUCCCAAGGCUAAAUACUACCUGAUGACCGAUAGUGAAGCAGUACCGUGAGGGAAAGGUGAAAAGAACCCCGGGAGGGGAGUGAAAUAGAACCUGAAACCAUGUGCCUACAACCGAUCAGAGCACCUUAUGUGUGUGAUGAUGUGCUUUUUGUAGAACGAGCCAACGAGUUACGGUAUGUAGCGAGGUUAAGUACUUAAGGUACGGAGCCGAAGGGAAACCGAGUCUUAAUAGGGCGACUAGUUGCAUGCUGUAGACCCGAAACCGGGUGACCUAUCCAUGGCCAGGUUGAAGCGAGGGUAAAACCUCGUGGAGGACCGAACCACGUUGCUGUUGAAAAAGCAUGGGAUGAGCUGUGGAUAGCGGAGAAAUUCCAAUCGAACUCGGAUAUAGCUGGUUCUCCUCGAAAUAGCUUUAGGGCUAGCGUCGGAAAAUGUGAGUAGUGGAGGUAGAGCACUGAAUAGGCUAGGGGGCAUAGCGCUUACCGAACCUUAUCAAACUCCGAAUGCCACAUACUAUCAGUCCGGCAGUCAGACUAUGAAAGAUAAGUUCCAUGGUCAAAAGGGAAACAGCCCAGAUCGUCAGCUAAGGUCCCAAAGUGUAAGUUAAGUGGAAAAGGAUGUGGGAUUUCUAAGACAACUAGGAUGUUGGCUUAGAAGCAGCCACUCAUUAAAAGAGUGCGUAAUAGCUCACUAGUCAAGAGAUCCUGCGCCGAAAAUGUCCGGGGCUCAAACUUACCACCGAAGCUACGGGUUCACGCUUACGUGAGCGGUAGAGGAGCGUCGUAAUCGGGCUGAAGUCGUACCGUAAGGAGCGGUGGACUGAUUACGAGUGAGAAUGUUGGCAUUAGUAGCGAGAUGUAGGCGAGAAUCCUACAGGCCGAAUAUCUAAGGUUUCCUGAGUAAAGUUUGUCUUCUCAGGGUUAGUCGGGACCUAAGGCGAGGCCGAAAGGCGUAGUCGAUGGACAAUUGGUUGAUAUUCCAAUACCACUAUAAUCGUUAUUAUCGAUGGUGUGACGGAGAAGGAUAGGAUGUGCUAGCUAUUGGAUGCUAGUCUAAGCGUUUAGGGAGUUGGGAUUGGCAAAUCCGUUCCAACAAUUCUGAGGCGUGAUGGGGAAGGUUCUACGGAACCGAAGUAUCUGAUUCCAUGCUUCCAAGAAAAGCAUCUAGAGAGAGAAGUAGUGCCCGUACCGCAAACCGACACAGGUAGAUGAGGAGAGAAUCCUAAGGCCGACGGAAGAAUUGCAGUUAAGGAACUAGGCAAAUUGACCCCGUAACUUCGGGAGAAGGGGUGCCUGAGAAAUCAGGCCGCAGAGAAUAGGCACAAGCAACUGUUUAACAAAAACACAGGUCUCUGCUAAAGCGAAAGCUGAUGUAUAGGGGCUGACGCCUGCCCGGUGCUGGAAGGUUAAGGGGAACACUUAGCGAAAUAUCGCGAAGGUGUGAACUUAAGCCCCAGUAAACGGCGGCCGUAACUAUAACGGUCCUAAGGUAGCGAAAUUCCUUGUCAGGUAAGUUCUGACCCGCACGAAUGGCGUAAUGACUUGUGCACUGUCUCAACUGCAAAUCCGGCGAAGUUGUAGUGCGAGUGAAGAUGCUCGCUACCCGCGAUUGGACGGAAAGACCCCGUAGAGCUUUACUGUAGCUUAGCAUUGAAUUUCGGUAUUGUCUGUACAGGAUAGGUGGGAGACUGGGAAACUAGGGCGUCAGCCUUGGUGGAGUCGUUGUUGGGAUACCACCCUGAUAGUAUUGAAGUUCUAACUGGAUGCCAUGAAACUGGUGACAGGACAUUGUUAGGUGGGCAGUUUGACUGGGGCGGUCGCCUCCUAAAAUGUAACGGAGGCGCCCAAAGGUUCCCUCAGAACGGUCGGAAAUCGUUCGAAGAGUGUAAAGGCAGAAGGGAGCCUGACUGCGACACCUACAAGUGGAGCAGGGACGAAAGUCGGGCUUAGUGAUCCGGUGGUACCUCGUGGGAGGGCCAUCGCUCAACGGAUAAAAGCUACCUCGGGGAUAACAGGCUGAUCUCCCCCAAGAGUUCACAUCGACGGGGAGGUUUGGCACCUCGAUGUCGGCUCGUCGCAUCCUGGGGCUGAAGUAGGUCCCAAGGGUUGGGCUGUUCGCCCAUUAAAGCGGCACGCGAGCUGGGUUCAGAACGUCGUGAGACAGUUCGGUCCCUAUCCGUCGCGGGCGUAGGAAAUUUGAGAGGAGCUGUCCUUAGUACGAGAGGACCGGGAUGGACUGACCUAUGGUGUACCAGUUGUUUCGCCAGAAGCAUAGCUGGGUAGCUAAGUCGGGAAGGGAUAAACGCUGAAAGCAUCUAAGUGUGAAGCCCACCUCAAGAUGAGAUUUCCCAUAGCAUAAGCUAGUAAGACCCCUUGAAGACUACAAGGUUGAUAGGUCAGAGG
rnacentral:rRNA from 1 species